UGCAAGUCGAGCGGUAGAGAGAAGCUUGCUUUUCUUGAGAGCGGCGGACGGGUGAGUAAUGCCUAGGAAUCUGCCUGGUAGUGGGGGAUAACGUUCGGAAACGGACGCUAAUACCGCAUACGUCCUACGGGAGAAAGCAGGGGACCUUCGGGCCUUGCGCUAUCAGAUGAGCCUAGGUCGGAUUAGCUAGUUGGUGAGGCAACGGCUCACCAAGGCGACGAUGCGUAGCCGACCUGAGAGGGUGACCGGCCACACUGGGACUGAGACACGGCCCAGACUCCUACGGGAGGCAGCAGUAGGGAAUCCUCCGCAAUGGACGAAAGUCUGACGGAGCAACGCCGCGUGAGCGAAGAAGGUCUUCGGAUCGUAAAGCUCUGUUGUCAGGGAAGAACAAGUGCCGUUCGAACAGGGCGGUACCUUGACGGUACCUGACGAGGAAGCCACGGCUAACUACGUGCCAGCAGCCGCGGUAAU
rnacentral:rRNA from 1 species